GCGGAUGUGGCGAAACUGGUAGACGCGUCAGACUUAGGAUCUGGUGCCUUCGGGCAUGGGGGUUCGAGUCCCUCCAUCCGCA
rnacentral:tRNA from 1 species